AGGAUUAACGCUGGCGGCGUGCCUGACACAUGCAAGUCGAACGAGGCCGCAAGGCCGAGUGGCGGACGGGUGAGUAACACGUGACCAACCAACCUCGAAGUUGGGAAUAGCUCUGCGAAAGUAGGGGUAAUACCGAAUGUGGCCCAGGGCGGGCAUCCGCCUUGGUCUAAAGAUUCAUCGCUUCGAGACGGGGUCGCGGCCUAUUAGCUUGUUGGUGAGGUAACGGCUCACCAAGGCGAUGAUGGGUAGCUGGUCUGAGAGGACGACCAGCCACACUGGGACUGAGACACGGCCCAGACUCCUACGGGAGGCAGCAGUGAGGAAUCUUCCGCAAUGGGCGAAAGCCUGACGGAGCAACGCCGCGUGUGGGAUGGAAGACUCUAGGGUUGUAAACCACUGUCGGAGGGGACGAUCGUGACGGUACCCUCCAAGAAAGCCCCGGCUAACUACGCGCCAGCAGCCGC
rnacentral:rRNA from 1 species